rnacentral:lncRNA from 1 species
CCCAGUACAUCCCAGUGCCUCUCAAUGUCUCCCAGUGCCUCCCAGUAUCGCCCAGUGGCUCCCAGUAUCGCCCAGUGGCUCCCAGUUCCAUCCCAGCGCCUCCCAGUGCCUCUCAGAGCCAUCCCAGUGCCUCCCAGUAACUCCCAGUAUGCCCCAGUGCCCCCCCCCAAAUCAAUCACAGUCCCCAACAUGGCGGCGGUUCUCGCGAGAGCAGCACGUGAGGCCCCGCCCACGCCGCCCUUCCCGCCGCCGCCCCGCCAGCCAAUGGGAAAGCGGGAGGGCGGGGCUAGUCCGCGCGAUGACCCCGCCCCUAACCGCACCGCCAGCCAAUGGGAGAGCGGUGGGCGUGGCCACCGGCAGCUCCCCGCCCCGCCCACAGCCGAUGACCACGCCCCUUUCUCUAUUCCGACCAAUUGGAGCGAAGGGGGGGCGUGGUUAGAACCGCUCUCCCCGGCUCCAACAGGGCGUGACCACGCCCCUUCCGCCGACGCCGACCAAUGGGAGAGCGGGGAGGGCGGGACAACGCGAUGGCUCUGACCACGCCCCCCCCGAAGCCCCGCCCCUCGGAUGGGGGCGACGGUGUUCGUGCAACCGCUGGACCUGGUGAAGAACCGCAUGCAGCUCAGUGGGGCGGGAGCGCGCACCCGCGAGUAUCGCAGCAGCUUCCACGCACUCGGCUCCAUCCUGCGGCACGAGGG